CAGGUGCAAUUGUUCUUGCUGCCCUGAGCUGGAGAGGGGAAUAGCGUGUGGGAGCACAGGUGCAGGGGCGCAGUGGGGAACAUAUGCUGGUGUUCCCACUACCAUGUAUUGUCCAGAAGAUGCAGAACAUGUCUGUGUCCUGCCUGAAGGCACUGCAUUGUCUGUGUGCCCAUUAGCAGCAUAAGCAAUUAUCAGCAGAGAGGUCCAGGAUGGAAUCAUCAGGAUGACUGAAGUCUCUCCUCAGCUACUGUGGAAGGCAACCUCUCCACAUAAGAUGUGACCAGCUAGCAACCCGACAUCCAGCGAUGAUUGUUGUACAACCUGAGACAUCCAAACUGUGAGCAAAAAGCUAGUAAGAAAUGUGUGACACUGAUAAAUAUCAUCACUUGAAUGGAUC